GAUGAACGCUGGCGGCGUGCCUAAUACAUGCAAGUCGAGCGAACAGACGAGGAGCCUGCUCCUCUGACGUUAGCGGCGGACGGGUGAGUCACAUGUGGAUAACCUACCUAUAAGACUGGGAUAACUUCGGGAAACCGGAGCUAAUACCGGAUAAUAUAUUGAACCGUAUGGUUCAAUAGUGAAAGACGGUUUUGCUGCUACUUAUAGAUGGAUCCGCGCCGCAUUAGCUAGUUGGUAAGGUAACGGCUUACCAAGGCAACGAUGCGUAGCCGACCUGAGAGGGUGAUCGGCCACACUGGAACUGAGACACGGUCCAGACUCCUACGGGAGGCAGCAGUAGGGAAUCUUCCGCAAUGGGCGAAAGCCUGACGGAGCAACGCCGCGUGAGUGAUGAAGGUCUUCGGAUCGUAAAACUCUGUUAUUAGGGAAGAACAAAUGUGUAAGUAACUAUGCACGUCUUGACGGUACCUAAUCAGAAAGCCACGGCUAACUACGUG
rnacentral:rRNA from 1 species